GCUUACGGCCAUACCACCCUGAACAUGCCCGAUCUCGUCCGAUCUCGAAGCUAAGCAGGGUCGGGCCGGUUAGUACUUGGAUGGGAGACCGCCUGGGAAUACCAGGUGCUGUAAGCU
rnacentral:rRNA from 1 species